CCUACGGGAGACAGCAGUGGGGGAUAUUGGACAAUGGGGGGAACCCUGAUCCAGCGACGCCGCGUGAGUGAAGAAGUAUUUCGGUAUGUAAAGCUCUGUCAGCAGGGAAGAAAGCAAUGACGGUACCUGACCAAGAAGCCCCGGCUAACUACGUGCCAGCAGCCGCGGGAAUACGUAGGGGGCAAGCGUUAUCCGGAAUUACUGGGUGUAAAGGGAGUGUAGACGGCUGUGCAAGUCUGGAGUGAAAGGCGGGGGCCCAACCCCCGGACUGCUCUGGCAACUGUAUGGCUGGAGUGCAGGAGAGGUAAGCGGAAUGCCUAGUGUAGCGGUGAAAUGCGUAGAUAUUAGGAGGAACACCAGUGGCGAAGGCGGCUUACUGGACUGUAACUGACGUUGAGGCACGAAAGCGUGGGGAGCAAACAGGAUUAGAUACCCGGGUAGUC
rnacentral:rRNA from 1 species